AUGGGCCUAAUGGACCAAAAGGGGAAACACAACAGCCAACAAGGGCUGUUGCGCCCCCCAUAUGGGUCAAACCAGUGGAGGAAGGAAAGAGGAGAAGAGAGAAGGAAGGGGAGGGAUUCGGCCUCCCCCUUCCUUCCCUCCUCUCUCCUCCUUCCUUCGCCCUCCGAGGGGGGGGGGGGAAUUGGACUAGGCCCCCAAGUAGGAUUCCUCCUACUUGGGGUGCACCAAGGCUAUUCCCCUCCCCCUCCCAUUGAUAUAUACAUGGGGAGGGGGUGCCUAGAACACACAUCAACUAUUGAUAGCCGUGUGCGGCGCCUGUUGUGGUACUAA
rnacentral:rRNA from 1 species